ACGUAGGGGGCAAGCGUUGCUCGGAAUUACUGGGCGUAAAGGGUGUGUAGGCGGCUGAUUAAGUCAAGGAUGAAAUCCCGAGGCUCAACUUCGGAACGGUCCUUGAUACUGGUCAGCUUGAGGCUAGUAAAGGAGAGCAGAAUUCCCGGUGGAGCGGUGAAAUGCGUAGAGAUCGGGAGGAACACCGGAGGCGUAGGCGGUUCUCUAGGCUAGGCCUGACGCUCAGACACGAAAGCUUGGGGAGCAAACGG
rnacentral:rRNA from 1 species